rnacentral:tRNA from 1 species
GGUAAAAUGACUGAUAAUAGGUGAUAGAUUGUAAAUCUAUUUAUGAGUGAAUAAUCUCUUUUACCA